UACGGAGGGUGCGAGCGUUGUCCGGAAUCAUUGGGCGGAAAGGGCGCGUAGGUGGCCCGGUCAGCGUGCGGUGAAAGCUCGGGGCUCAACCCCGAGUCGGCCGUGCGAACUGCUGGGCUUGAGCACUGUAGAGGCAGGCGGAAUUCCGGGUGUAGCGGUGGAAUGCGUAGAGAUCCGGAAGAACACCGGUGGCGAAGGCGGCCUGCUGGGCAGUGGCUGACACUGAGGCGCGACAGCGUGGGGAGCAAACAGG
rnacentral:rRNA from 1 species